UCAGCGGGAAGCAUUGAGAGGAGAUGAUAAGAGAUGAGUGGAAGAGAAAAAUCGAGUAAAGGAGGAUGGGGCCAUAGAAAAAAAGAAAAUUUUUUUUUAUUGAAAUUUUGAGAUGAGAAAAAGAGAGAUGGGAGAUGAAAGAUUUGAAAAGUAAUAGGUAAAGAGAGUUCAGUGAGAUGGAGUAGUAAAAAAUAAAGAAGAAAAAA
rnacentral:lncRNA from 1 species